rnacentral:rRNA from 1 species
GAUGAACGCUGGCGGCGUGCUUAACACAUGCAAGUCGAACGAUGAAGCCCAGCUUGCUGGGUGGAUUAGUGGCGAACGGGUGAGUAACACGUGAGUAACCUGCCCUUGACUCUAGGAUAAGCCCGGGAAACUGGGUCUAAUACUGGAUAGGAACGUCUACCGCAUGGUGGGUGUUGGAAAGAAUUUCGGUCAUGGAUGGACUCGCGGCCUAUCAGCUUGUUGGUGAGGUAAUGGCUCACCAAGGCGACGACGGGUAGCCGGCCUGAGAGGGUGACCGGCCACCACGGGACUGAGGCACGGCCCAGACUCCUACGGGGGGCAGCAGUGGGGAAUAUUGCACAAUGGGCGGAAGCCUGAUGCAGCGACGCCGCGUGGGGGAUGACGGCCUUCGGGUUGUAAACCUCUUUCAGUAGGGAAGAAGCGAAAGUGAAGGUACCUGCAGAAGAAGCAACGGCUAACUACGUG